rnacentral:rRNA from 1 species
UACAUGGGGUGCAAACGUUGCUCGGAAUUAUUGGGCGUAAAGCGCGCGUAGGCGGUUAUCUAAGUCGGAUGUGAAAGCCCUCGGCUUAACUGAGGAAGUGCACCCGAAACUGGAUAGCUAGAGUACGAAAGAGGGUCGCGGAAUUCCCGGUGUAGAGGUGAAAUUCGUAGAUAUCGGGAGGAACACCGGUGGCGAAGGCGGGUCUCUGGGCCGUAACUGACGCUGAGGAGCGAAAGCAUGGGGAGCGAACAGG